UACAGAGGUCUCAAGCGUUGUUCGGAUUCAUUGGGCGUAAAGGGUGCGUAGGCGGCGCGGUAAGUCGGGUGUGAAAUCUCGGAGCUUAACUCCGUGCCUGCAGUCGAUACGGGCGGGCUGGAGUUCGGUAGGGGAGACUGGAAUUCCUGGUGUAGCGGUGAAAUGCGCAGAUAUCAGGAGGAACACCGGUGGCGAAGGCGGGUCUCUGGGCCGAUACUGACGCUGAGGAGCGAAAGUGUGGGGAGCGAACAGG
rnacentral:rRNA from 1 species